ACGGGGCGCAGCAGGCGCGAAACCUUUGCAAUACACGAAAGUGUGACAGGGCUAUCCCGAGUGCCGUCCGCUGAGGAUGGCUUUUACCCAGUAUAGAAAGCUGGGGGAAUAAGGAGAGGGCAAGUCUGGUGUCAGCCGCCGCGGUAAUACCAGCUCUCCGAGUGGUGGGGACGUUUAUUGGGCCUAAAGCAUCCGUAGCUGGCCGUUCAAGUCCCCUGUUAAACCCAGCGAUUUAAUCGUUGGUCUGCGGGGGAUACUGUUCGGCUAGGGGGCGGGAGAGGCAGACGGUAUUUCCGGGGUAGGGGUGAAAUCCUAUAAUCCCGGGAAGACCACCAGUGGCGAAGGCUGUCUGCUAGAACGCGCCCGACGGUGAGGGAUGAAAGCUGGGGGAGCGAACCGGAUUAGAUACCCGGGUAGUCCCAGCUGUAAACUAUGCAGGCUAGGUGUUUGGGCGGCCACGGGCCGCUCUAGUGCCGCAGGGAAGCUGUUAAGCCUGCCGCCUGGGGAGUACGGCCGCAAGGCUGAAACUUAAAGGAAUUGGCGGGGGAGCACCACAAGGGGUGAAGCUUGCGGUUUAAUUGGAGUCAACGCCGGAAAUCUCACCGGGAGCGACAGCAGAAUGAAGGCCAGAUUGAAGGUCUUGCUGGACGAGCUGAGAGGAGGUGCAUGGCCGUCGCCAGUUCGUGCCGUGAGGUGUCCUGUUAAGUCAGGCAACGAUCGAGACCCGCGUCCUCUGUUGCUACUGGUCUUGGGCCAGGCACACUGAGGAGACCGCCGCUGAUAAAGCGGAGGAGGGAGCGGGCCACGGCAGGUCAGUAUGCCCCGAAUCUCCCGGGCCACACGCGAGCUGCAAUGGCAGGUACAAUGAGUUCCAACCUCGAAAGGGGAAGGCAAUCUUGAAAGCCUGCCGUAGUUGGGAUCGAGGGUUGCAACCCACCCUCGUGAACAUGGAAUCCCUAGUAAUCGCGUGUCACUAGCGCGCGGUGAAUACGUCCCUGCUCCUUGCACACACCGCCCGUCGUUCCACCCGAGCGACUCUUGGGUGAGGCGCGGUCUGUUGGCUGCGUCGAAUCUGAGUUUCGUGAGGGGGGAAAAGUCGUAACAAGGUAGCCGU
rnacentral:rRNA from 1 species